rnacentral:rRNA from 1 species
AACGAACGCUGGCGGCGUGCCUAACACAUGCAAGUCGAACGAGAAAGGGGCUUCGGCUCCGAGUAAAGUGGCGCACGGGUGAGUAACACGUGGGUAACCUGCCUCUAAGAUUGGGAUAACUCGUCGAAAGAUGAGCUAAUACCGAAUAAGACCACAGUUCCCGCGGGAACAGGGGUCAAAGGUAGCCUCUGCUUGCAAGCUAUCACUUAGAGAUGGGCCUGCGCACCAUUAGCUAGUUGGUAGGGUAACGGCCUACCAAGGCAAAGAUGGUUAGCUGGUCUGAGAGGAUGAUCAGCCACACUGGAACUGAGACACGGUCCAGACUCCUACGGGAGGCAGCAGUGGGGAAUAUUGCGCAAUGGGCGAAAGUUUGACGCAGCAACGCCGCGUGAGUGAUGAAGGCCUUCGGGUCGUAAAGCUCUGUCGGGAGGAACGAAUGCUCCUGAGGUUAACAGCCUCGGGAGGUGACGGUACCUUCAAAGGAAGCACCGGCUAACUCUGUG